AGGUGGUCAAGAUGAUCCUCAAGAUUGAUGAUGUCAUAACGCCUUCUGAGUAUUGAUGACGCCUUCAAGAACGGAAAUCGACUGUGCUAAGUGGCAUGCGCUCCAUUAGUCAGCAUAUUUUAUAUGGGUUGAUUUUGAUUUGCUCCUAGAAUUCUUACAUGGAGUGGUCACUUGUUUUGUUUGAUGAGCUAUCUAGUUUUGUGACGUGCGUUCACACUUUGUAGAGCUUGAGACAGUAGCACAAGUCAUGUCGAUACCAGUCCAUUCGUUGUGUUGUUCAGAUGCUUAAUGUAUGGUUUUGGACCACUAAUUUGUCUGCUUUAUCGUAAUUGUUUUAUUUUUUUGUUUGCUUUGUCUAAAGUAUCUCAGGUAAAGUUGGUGUGAGUCAGACUUACUAUAUGUAUCGAGUUGCUUGUUUUUGUACCGAUCAG
rnacentral:lncRNA from 1 species